GGGAUUCGACUAAGCCAUGCAAGUCAGGUAGUAAUACCGGCGACAUGCUCAGUAACACGUCAAUAAUCUGCCCUUAGGUCACGGAUAACCUUGGGAAACUGAGGGUAAACCGCGAUAGGAGAGAUGCUCUGGAAUAUAGCUUUCUUUAAAGCUCGAGCCUAAGGAUGAGUUGGCGGCCGAUUAGGCUGUUGGCGGUGUAACGGACCACCAAACCUAUGAUCGGUAGGGGCCUUGAAAGAGGGAGCCCCGAGAAGGACACUGAAAUACUGGUCCUAGCCCUACGGGGUGCAGCAGGCGCGAAAAUUUUACAAUGCACGAAAGUGUGAUAAGGGGAUCCCAAGUGCUUGCACACUGUGCAGGCUUUUUUUUCCAGGGCAAGUACCUGGGAGAAUAAGUGGUGGGUAAGACUGGUGCCAGCCGCCGCGGUAACACCAGCGCCACGAGUGGCAGCCGUUUAUUUGGCCUAAAGCGUCCGUAGCUGGUAGUGUAAAUUCUUUGUGAAAUUGUCGAGCUUAACUUUACAACGUGCAGAGAACACUGCAUUACUUGAGACCGGGAGGAGUCAGAGGUAUUUCUGGGGGAGCGGUAAAAUGCUAUAAUCCCAGGAAGACCACCUGUGGCGAAGGCGUCUGACUAGAACGGAUCUGACAGUGAGGGACGAAAGCCAGGGGAGCAAACCGGAUUAGAUACCCGAGUAGUCCUGGCUGUAAACGCUGUGAGCUAGGUGUUGCCUAUUCUACAUGAAUGGGCAGUGUCGAAAUGAAGAUGUUAAGCUCACCGCCUGGGAAGUACAGUCGCAAGGCCGAAACUUAAAGGAAUUGGCGGGGGAGCACUACAAGGGGUGCGGCGUGCGGUUUAAUCUAACUCAACGCAGAACACCUUACUAGUAGCGACGGCAGGAUGAAGGUCAGUCUGAAGGGCUUACCUGACGAGCCGAGAGGUAGUGCAUGGCCGCCGUCAGCUCGUGCCGUGAGGUGUCCUCUUAAGUGAGGCAACGAGCGAGACCUGCAUCUGCAAUUGCUAACGGUUCCUUCGGGAAGACUGAGCACAUUGCAGGGACUGCUCCGGAAACGGAGAGGAAGGUGCAGGCUACGGUAGGUCUGUAUGCUCCGAAUCCACUAGGCUACACGCGCGCAACAAUGGUAGACACAAUGGGAUGCAACCCUGAAAAGGGAAGCUAAUCCUCUAAAAUCUAUCUUAGUCCAGAUUGAGGGUUGUAACUCACCCUCAUGACGUCGGAAUCCCUAGUAAUCAGAGUUUAUCAUACUCUGGUGAAUACGUCCCUGCUCCUUGCACACACUGCCCGUCAAACCAACCGAGCAGGGUUUAGAUGAGACUCAACUUACAUUGGUUGUUUCGAAUCUAAGCUCAGUGAGGUGGGUUAAGUCGUCACAAGGUC
rnacentral:rRNA from 1 species